rnacentral:misc_RNA from 1 species
GAAAUGCGAUAAUUAAUGUGAAUUGCAGAAUUCAGUGAAUCAUCGAGUCUUUGAACGCACAUUGCGCCCCCUGGUAUUCCGGGGGGCAUGCCUGUCCGAGCGUCAUUGCUGCUCUCAAGCACGGCUUGUGUGUUGGGCUUCCGUCCCUGGCAACGGGGACGGGCCCAAAAGGCAGUGGCGGCACCAUGUCUGGUCCUCGAGCGUAUGGGGCUUUGUCACCCGCUCCCGUAGGUCCAGCUGGCAGCUAGCCUCGCAACCAAUCUUUUUAACCAGGUUGACCUCGGAUCAGGUAGGGAUACCCGCUGAACUUAAGC